rnacentral:rRNA from 1 species
AGGGCACCACCAGGAGUGGAGCCUGCGGCUUAAUUUGACUCAACACGGGAAAACUCACCCGGCCCGGACACUGGAAGGAUUGACAGAUUGAGAGCUCUUUCUUGAUUCAGUGGGUGGUGGUGCAUGGCCGUUCUUAGUUGGUGGAGUGAUUUGUCUGGUUAAUUCCGAUAACGAACGAGACUCUAGCCUACUAAAUAGAUCGUCGGCUUACAAACGCCGGCGAGACUUCUUAGAGGGACAGGCGGUGAUUCAACCGCACGAAACAGAGCAAUAACAGGUCUGUGAUGCCCUUAGAUGCCCGGGGCCGCACGCGCGCUACACUGAAGUGAUCAGCGUGCUUUUUCAACCUACUCUGUCAAGAGUGGGGAACCCAAUGAACCUUCUUCGUGAUUGGGAUAGGGGAUUGUAAUUAUUCCCCUUGAACGAGGAAUUCCCAGCAAGCGCGAGUCAUAAGCUCGCGUUGAUUACGUCCCUGCCCUUUGUACACACCGCCCGUCGCUACUACCGAUUGAAUGUUUU